rnacentral:lncRNA from 1 species
CCUUUGCUAGAACGGCUGAGUAUGUCUUGAGCUCCAGUACCAAUAAGUGUUGCUUGAUUUCUAGGCAGAGGCCCCACUGGAAUCUCCUGGCCUUCCUGCCUUCAUCCAUCAAUGUCUCCGGGGAGUAUCGGCCCAGCUCUAGGAACUUACGAGCAUAUUCCGAUAUCGUCAUAUUUCCCUAGACCAGCUGAACAAACUCCAUCUCCUUCAGGUGUCGGAUGUGCUCAGGGAGAUGCUCCGCAUGGAAGGCCGCUAAGAACUGCUCCCAAGUGGCUGGUGUAGGCAGGGUGGUUUGCUUGAGCUCCCACCAAUGACCUGCUUCCCCUACCAGCAUGUAGGAAGCAAGGGCAGCUCUCUGCUCAGGAACCACUCCCAAGGUCUUGAAAGCUCUCUCAGUCUCUGCCAACCAGUACUAGACAUCUUCAAAAGAAGAUCCCCCUGUAA